UACGAACUGUGCGAACGUUAUUCGGAAUCACUGGGCUUACAGGGUGCGUAGGCGGCUUGUUAAGUAGGGGUGUGAAAGCCCCCGGCUCAACCGGGGAAUUGCGCCCUAAACUGGCGAGCUGGAGUGAGAUAGGGGUGUGUGGAACUUCCGGUGGAGCGGUGAAAUGUGUUGAUAUCGGAAGGAACGCCGGUAGCGAAAGCGACACACUGGGUCUUGACUGACGCUGAGGCACGAAAGCCAGGGGAGCGAACGGG
rnacentral:rRNA from 1 species